rnacentral:rRNA from 1 species
AAUAUUUGACAAUGGGCGCAAGCCUGAUCCAGCCAUGCCGCGUGAGUGAAGAAGGACNNNGGGUUNUCAAGCUCUUUCACCCGNGACNUUGAUGACGGUAGCGGGAGAAGAAGACCCGGCUAACUGCGUGCCUGCAGCCGCGGUAAUACGGAGGGGGCUAGCGUUGUUCGGAUUUACUGGGCGUAAAGGGCGCGUAGGCGGAUGUUCGCGUCAGAGGUGAAAGCCCCGGGCUCAACCUGGGAACUGCCUUUGAAACGGGACAUCUUGAGUUCGGGAGAGGGUAGCGGAAUUCCCAGUGUAGAGGUGAAAUUCGUAGAUAUUGGGAAGAACACCGGUGGCGAAGGCGGCUACCUGGCCCGAUACUGACGCUGAGGCGCGAAAGCGUGGGGAGCAAAC